rnacentral:pre_miRNA from 7 species
UUUUAAUACUUCAUAUCAGCCUAGUGAUGUAAGAGCCCCUUUCGGGGACCCUCAUUCUGGUCUCAGGAGUGAGAGAGCACCCAAAGAAACAUGAGAAUCC